GUGUUGUGUGAAAGGAGAGAAGGUAAGUACUCCUCUUGAUAAGGGUGGAAGGGUCUCUAGUGGCCUUACAACACACAAAAGGUUAAGGCAUUGCCAUCUUCUUAUCGGCAUCUAACCAUGUAAAACU